rnacentral:rRNA from 1 species
CGGUUGAUCCUGCCGGACCUGACUGCUAUCGGAUUGAUACUAAGCCAUGCGAGUCAUUGUAACAAUACAAGGCAUACGGCUCAGUAACGCGUAGUCAACCUAACCUAUGGACGGGAAUAACCUCGGGAAACUGAGAAUAAUGCCCGAUAGAACACUAUACCCGGAAUGGUUUGUGUUCCAAAUGAUUUAUCGCCAUAGGAUGGGACUGCGGCCUAUCAGUUUGUUGGUGAGGUAAUGGCCCACCAAGACUAUUACAGGUACGGGCUCUGAGAGGAGUAGCCCGGAGAUGGGUACUGAGACACGGACCCAGGCCCUAUGGGGCGCAGCAGGCGAGAAAACUUUGCAAUGUGCGAAAGCACGACAAGGUUAAUCCGAGUGAUUUGUGCUAAACGAAUCUUUUGUUAGUCCUAGAAACACUAACGAAUAAGGGGUGGGCAAGUUCUGGUGUCAGCCGCCGCGGUAAAACCAGCACCUCAAGUGGUCAGGAUGAUUAUUGGGCCUAAAGCAUCCGUAGCCGGCUCUGUAAGUUUUCGGUUAAAUCUGCACGCUUAACGUACAGGCUGCCGGGAAUACUGCAGAGCUAGGGAGUGGGAGAGGUAGACGGUACUCGGUAGGAAGUGGUAAAAUGCUUUGAUCUAUCGAUGACCACCUGUGGCGAAGGCGGUCUACCAGAACACGUCCGACGGUGAGGGAUGAAAGCUGGGGGAGCAAACCGGAUUAGAUACCCGGGUAGUCCCAGCUGUAAACUAUGCAAACUCAGUGAUGCAUUGGCUUGUGGCCAAUGCAGUGCUGCAGGGAAGCCGUUAAGUUUGCCGCCUGGGAAGUACGUACGCAAGUAUGAAACUUAAAGGAAUUGGCGGGGGAGCACCACAAGGGGUGAAGCCUGCGGUUCAAUUGGAUUCAACGCCGGG